UACGUAGGGUGCGAGCGUUAAUCGGAAUUACUGGGCGUAAAGCGUGCGCAGGCGGUUUUGUAAGCCGGAUGUGAAAUCCCCGGGCUUAACCUGGGAAUGGCAUUCGGGACUGCAAGGCUGGAGUGCGGCAGAGGAGACUGGAAUUCCUGGUGUAGCAGUGAAAUGCGUAGAUAUCAGGAGGAACACCGGUGGCGAAGGCGGGUCUCUGGGCCGACACUGACGCUGAUGCGCGAAAGCCAGGGGAGCGAACGGG
rnacentral:rRNA from 1 species